CUGUGCAGCUUCAUACUUCAGCGCUGGAGCAAAUACCCCUGAACAUACACAUAUACGCAACUCUCAUCUAUUCACAGUCACGCUGGCACACGCACCCAGUCACUUGCAGGCUUGCUCCCCCCUCUCCCCUCAUGUUGCAGCGCAGUGUGUUUGCCUCUUGUACCUCUUCUUACUUUCCUUCCUUGGCUCGCGUUUCUUUUGUUUGCUUCACCAUCGGGUGGGCGAGCAUAAACUCUUUGGAUUCUGGUAGCUGAUUCAACUGCGGCAGCAUGCUUCGCAAGCACAUCGUGUCUGCGCCGCUGACGUGCUCAUCGCUCCCCGAAGUUCUUUUUAGCGGCUCGGCGUGCGUGGUGGCGACACGACCAUUCCACAGUACUCGCGUAUCUUUCUGCAAUGGUAGCAGCGGCAACGGCACCCAGCAGCGGUCCGCCGCGGAGGAGGAUAAGGAGGAGCUAGAGAGGGAGCGGCACCUGCGUGAGCAGUUUGCGCAGAAGAUUCAGCAGGGCCUGCCGCGGCAGCAAGGCGGUGCCGGUGCGGGUGCUGGGAACAUGGGUGGUGGCUUUGGACAGGGCCCUGAAUGGGGCAUGGGGGGCGGCACUGCUCCCUUUGCGGGCCAGCCGCCUGUGAAUCCUGACAUGUUUCGCAAAAUGUUCAACUUUAUGUUUUACCUCACGGCUCUCUUGUUCCUGAUGCUGAUGGUGCCGCUUUCUAAUGCGAACUCGCCCUUGUACACGAUGCAAGGGCUGCCGUGGUGGGAACUCCCGAUCGGCUCAGCAGCCUAUUUUCUUCUGUUGCGUGCCUUGUACUCGCGACAAGAGCAGAAUCGCAUCAAGACCGAGUUCGAGAACGCCGCGCGCGCGAACCCGACUCUCACGUUCGACCAGUUCAUUACGCAGACCUACCCCACCAUGUUCCAAGGCUACCGCACAUCGCAGCCGGAGGUGUUGGCGGCGGUGUCGGCGUGCUUGUCAUCUGCGAAGGAUCUGCGCUUUGCGCAGACGAUGGUGCGCGCGGCAGGCCGUGCGAAGGAUCCUCGUUCGUCGGCCGACGACGUCAUGGACGCGCUGCGCCGUGACUUCCCUCAGCUAUUCUAGGCGCUCUUGUUGAGGAAUGAUCAGACAGUGGCGGCGUGCGUUCACCUGUGUCCUUAUAUGCGUAUAAGGGAGGAACAGAGAGGGCCAAACAGGUGCGCCAGAAGGAGUACGACGAAGCGGACGGUAGCGAAGGAUUUUUUUUUGUGGGUCCAAGGCUGAUUGCUUCCCUCUCUCUCGGUGUGUCGUUGACCAGUAGACAACACACCGGGUGAUGGUGGGGAAGGGGCUUCAGCACCUGCACGGCACAACUGCUCCGGUCCAGUCCUUCCCCUUUCCCUCUCAUCUACUGCCCACUGCGUCCGCUGUUGCACGUCCUGUGCCGACUCUUUUUCACUUGUAUGUUUUCCCUCACCCUCAUCACAGGGGGUGCGCCUCUCAGUGCGUGGUAUCGUCAGGGCCCGGUGCACCCCACACUCUGUGUGUGAGGAAGCCGGGCAGCCCCCCUCCCCCACCCCCAUCCCUGCCAACGCAGAGCUAUCUCUGGCGGCGACAGGGUCGAGUAUCUACGGCGUUGGUGAGGGGGAGGUCAGUGCGUAUGUGCCGCUGCUGAUGUGUCGGCGGUCAUGUCCUGGACGGCGUGACGUCGGAGUGGUCUGCGACAGUGAACACGUCUGUGCCAUCCACGUAAUGGGCAGAGUGCCCGCGUGACUCGAACGCAUCCCUCACUCGGCGCUCACACGGCUUACUGGCGUGCGGAGUGCCUGAGUGUCGCAGCGAGGGGGAUGCACCGGGGGUGGCGACCGGCACAAUGGGAAGAGGAGCGGAUGUGUGGGUAGUGUGUGAGGCAGAGGACAUGCUCCGCUGGCUGAGCCGGCGCAUUGCUGCAACGCCCGUGACUACGGUUGCAUUGCACCAGGCGAUGGGGCUUGUGGCAAGGCGGGUGGGGGGUAGAGCAGGGUGGUGCUGGACGCAUGCUGUAUGGCAGAGAACGGACACAUCGAGAGCACGAAAGGUGUUUGCCGUUGGAGCCUCUCCUUGUGAACUGCCUCGAUGCCCCGAAGAGGAAACGAUGAUGAUGCGGACGAUCACGGCGACACAGAGCCACUUUGUGGAAACGCGAGCAAAACAAGGUAGCGACGGCCGGCAAAGGCGAUGUUACCAUGUGGAAGGCGUUGAGGUCGUGAGUUUUUUUUUUUUCGUGGCUUGCCUGUACUCGCCAAUGAGGCAGGCUUAGGCAAUGAUGAACGAAGCCAGUGCUUGCGUGGAAGGGGAUGUCCCUCAGCUCCGUCGUCUGAGUGGCGUAUCUUUGAUUCAGUGUGGGCUUGUGCUGGCGUUGCCAGUGGCUCAUAUCAUAUCGACCCUGCUGACCUUUCGCUUCCUCACACCGUCUUUCUUUUCUAAAGUGCUCUUUGCCUGCAAGUAGACGCGUGCCGCAGCAAGACGCCACAGGUGUGACACCGGCACCACGCUGCAACUGGUGCACCUCUUCCUGUUACCCCCCCCCCUUUUGGCCUAGGCUGUACUCUCUGUGCUUCCCAUCUCUCUUGCUCUUGCUUGUUUGCGCCUCCGCAAUUGCGACACAUCACGUCUCGACUCCGAAAUAG
rnacentral:misc_RNA from 1 species